rnacentral:rRNA from 1 species
UGUUCCUACGGGACGCAGCAGUGGGGAAUAUUGCACAAUGGGCGAAAGCCUGAUGCAGCAACGCCGCGUGAAGGAAGACGGUUUUCGGAUUGUAAACUUCUGUUCUUAGUGAAGAAUAAUGACGGUAACUAAGGAGCAAGCCACGGCUAACUACGUGCCAGCAGCCGCGGUAAUACGUAGGUGGCAAGCGUUGUCCGGAAUUACUGGGUGUAAAGGGAGCGUAGGCGGGCGAGAAAGUUGAAUGUUAAAUCUACCGGCUUAACUGGUAGCUGCGUUCAAAACUUCUUGUCUUGAGUGA